rnacentral:rRNA from 1 species
AGAGUUUGAUCCUGGCUCAGAGCGAACGCUGGCGGCAGGCUUAACACAUGCAAGUCGAGCGGGCAUCUUCGGAUGUCAGCGGCAGACGGGUGAGUAACACGUGGGAACGUACCCUUCGGUUCGGAAUAACGCUGGGAAACUAGCGCUAAUACCGGAUACGCCCUUUUGGGGAAAGGUUUACUGCCGAAGGAUCGGCCCGCGUCUGAUUAGCUAGUUGGUGGGGUAACGGCCUACCAAGGCGACGAUCAGUAGCUGGUCUGAGAGGAUGAUCAGCCACACUGGGACUGAGACACGGCCCAGACUCCUACGGGAGGCAGCAGUGGGGAAUAUUGGACAAUGGGCGCAAGCCUGAUCCAGCCAUGCCGCGUGAGUGAUGAAGGCCUUAGGGUUGUAAAGCUCUUUUGUCCGGGACGAUAAUGACGGUACCGGAAGAAUAAGCCCCGGCUAACUUCGUGCCAGCAGCCGCGGUAAUACGAAGGGGGCUAGCGUUGCUCGGAAUCACUGGGCGUAAAGGGCGCGUAGGCGGCCAUUCAAGUCGGGGGUGAAAGCCUGUGGCUCAACCACAGAAUUGCCUUCGAUACUGUUUGGCUUGAGUAUGGUAGAGGUUGGUGGAACUGCGAGUGUAGAGGUGAAAUUCGUAGAUAUUCGCAAGAACACCGGUGGCGAAGGCGGCCAACUGGACCAUUACUGACGCUGAGGCGCGAAAGCGUGGGGAGCAAACAGGAUUAGAUACCCUAGUAGUCC